GGCGGGUUAGCGUAAUGGUUAACGCGUCAGUUUCCGGUAUGCGGAAUUUAGCUGAAGAUUCCGGGUUCGAGUCCCGGACCUGUCG